rnacentral:siRNA from 1 species
UAGAAAUUCUCUGUUGCGUCUA